rnacentral:rRNA from 1 species
AUUGAACGCUGGCGGCAUGCUUUACACAUGCAAGUCGAACGGUAACAGGCCUUCGGGUUCUGACGAGUGGCGAACGGGUGAGUAAUUCAUCCGAACGUACCCAGAGGUGGGGGAUAACGCAGCGAAAGCUGUGCGAAUACCGCAUUUGAUCUGAGGAUGAAAGCGGGGGACCGUUCAGCAAUGUUUUGCCUCGCGCCUUUGGAGCGGCCGAUGUCGGAUUAGCUAGUUGGGGGGGUAAAGGCCUACCAAGGCGACGAUCCGUAGCUGGACUGAGAGGACGACCAGCCGCACGAGAGCUGGGACAGGGCCCAGAGUCCUACGGGAGGCAGCAGUCGGGAAUUGUGGACAAUGGGCGCGAGCCUGAUCCAGCAAGGCCGCGUGCGGGAAGAAGGCGUUGGGGUUGUGAACCGGUUUUGGCAGGAACGAAACGGUGUCAGCUAGUAACGGGCGAUAAUGACGGUACCUGCAGAAUAAGCACCGGCUAACUACGUG